ensembl:snoRNA small nucleolar RNA SNORA40
AUCACUUCUGUGAGUUUGUUAAUCUGCUGUUUAAACCAAUUAUUAAUGAAUAGGUACAAAAAAUACAACCUCUUUCACAACCCAGAACUCAUUGUCUGGCAUGAGUUUUGAUACAUAUAAGAAGGAAUGUU